GUACUGCUAAGGGGUCCCACAAUAGGACGAAACGGCCGUCCAGUGU
rfam:Schistosoma haematobium scaffold279_23, whole genome shotgun sequence.